rnacentral:rRNA from 1 species
AGUGAACGCUGGCGGCAGGCCUAACACAUGCAAGUCGAACGGCAGCACAGUAAGAGCUUGCUCUUACGGGUGGCGAGUGGCGGACGGGUGAGGAAUACAUCGGAAUCUACUUUUUCGUGGGGGAUAACGUAGGGAAACUUACGCUAAUACCGCAUACGACCUACGGGUGAAAGCAGGGGAUCUUCGGACCUUGCGCGAUUGAAUGAGCCGAUGUCAGAUUAGCUAGUUGGCGGGGUAAAGGCCCACCAAGGCGACGAUCCGUAGCUGGUCUGAGAGGAUGAUCAGCCACACUGGAACUGAGACACGGUCCAGACUCCUACGGGAGGCAGCAGUGGGGAAUAUUGGACAAUGGGCGCAAGCCUGAUCCAGCCAUACCGCGUGGGUGAAGAAGGCCUUCGGGUUGUAAAGCCCUUUUGUUGGGAAAGAAAAGCAGCAGGUUAAUACCCCGCUGUUCUGACGGUACCCAAAGAAUAAGCACCGGCCAACUUCGUG